rnacentral:rRNA from 1 species
UACGUAGGGUGCGAGCGUUGUCCGGAAUUACUGGGCGUAAAGAGCUCGUAGGUGGUUUGUCACGUCGUCUGUGAAAUUCCGGGGCUUAACCUCGGGCGUGCAGGCGAUACGGGCAAUACUUGAGUGCUGUAGGGGAGACUGGAAUUCCUGGUGUAGCGGUGAAAUGCGCAGAUAUCAGGAGGAACACCGAUGGCGAAGGCAUGUCUCUGGGCAGUUACUGACGCUGAGGAGCGAAAGCAUGGGUAGCGAACAGGAUUAGA